rnacentral:rRNA from 1 species
GACGAACCGUGCGAACGUUAUUCGGAAUCACUGGGCUUAAAGGGCGCGUAGGCGGGUCACCAAGUCCGGGGUGAAAUCCCACGGCCCAACCGUGGAAGUGCCUUGGAUACUGGAGACCUCGAGGGGGAUAGGGGCGUGCGGAACUCAGGGUGGAGCGGUGAAAUGCGUAGAUAUCCUGAGGAACACCGGUGGCGAAAGCGGCGCGCUGGAUCCCUUCUGACGCUGAGGCGCGAAAGCCAGGGGAGCAAACGGG